UGAAGGAGAGGGUCAGAUGAUCUGUCCCGUUGCAUGCUGCGGUCAUCACAGUGAAGGAGGCCAGCUUCAGUGACUGCAGUGAACUGGUCAACAUCUGGUUGCUUGGGAGCAAACUGAUUGUCGUCAGGGAGCAGCAUUGUACAACUAUGAGUUCUGUCCAAUAUUUACAAACUGUCCCUUGUUCCGUGAAGAUCCUGGCUGAGAUGACAGUGGAAGCUCCAGGAUAAGUCCUUGAGAGAAGCAACUGCAGAGAAGCAGGUGUACUGACACUUCACCCACUGCACUGUGACUCCAAAAUGACCCGUGUCCACCUUCUCAGCCUCUGAGCCUCUCUGAAGAACUCUGCAGAGGAAGGUGUCUCCAAUGCUUCACCCAGGAAUGAUAGCCUUACCAAGUGCUUCGAAGGAGUCAUACAGACAGUUAUCCUGGAGAACAGAUUUGAUGUUGGUGUUGAAGAAAGUUCAUCAAUGACUUGGCAAGAAGUAAGAGAUGAAGAGUUCUGGAAGCCUGUGUAGAAAUGCUCAUAGAAGAAAACAGGUAAAACUUGAGGAAAAGACAUGAAGGAAUUAAUAAUAAU